GACAGAGGGUGCAAGCGUUGUUCGGAAUUACUGGGCGUAAAGCGCGUGUAGGCUGCUCGGAAAGUCGGAUGUGAAAGCCCUGGGCUCAACCUAGGAAGUGCAUUCGAAACUUCCGAGCUGGAGUGCUGGAGAGGAAGGCGGAAUUCUCGGUGUAGAGGUGAAAUUCGUAGGUAUCGAGAGGAACACCGGUGGCGAAGGCGGCCUUCUGGACAGCCACUGACGCUGAGACGCGAAAGCGUGGGGAGCAAACAGG
rnacentral:rRNA from 1 species